CCCGUUUUACGGUACCUACCUACCUAAGUACUAGAACCUUUAAUGUCGUCUAAUGUUUGUUGUUUGCCGAGUACGAUUUUAGGAAUGGAAAUGAGCAUGACUCUGCACCUAGUUACAAGGCGCGAACUUCCCAAGCCUGGCUUGAAACCAACGUUCUGGACUUUAUAAGAGCUAAAGACUGGCCCUCAUCUAGCCCAGACCUCAACCCUUUAGACUUCAAAUUAUGUUAAUUUGGGUUGAAAUGAAGUUAUCGUACCUGAAAAGUAUAAGACGCCUAGUAUACUUGAAUAAAGAUAUGCAACAGAGCCGGUAUUUAGAUAUCUUUCAGUUUAAGACGGCAGACCACAAAGGCAGACCAAAAGGCAGACCAUAAACGAGUGUUCUGUCGUGUCCAAGUCGCGUUCGCAUGACUGACACUCCACCGUCAACUCAUCAUCGAUUCGGUAGCGAUACUGACAGAGUGCUGUCGAGGUUGUGCGGCUGUCGGAAAUAGUUAAUGGACCUGUUGCUUGUGACUGAUGGGUCAGCAUUGCAUUCCAACGGCGGUUCGUAUAGCAAAUCAACACCACUAAGUAAAUUUAUUUAUAUCAAGUAUCUCUUGUCCGACCACUAAAUAACUACAGCUGCUCAUCAUGGCAAUUAGUUGGGCCGUUGUGUUCGAGUGGCUACUCUGAAUAAUAAACUCGUUUUAAUUUCCCGA